AUUUGAUUUUGCUUGAAUGACGCUGCGACUGGCGACUGGCGACUGGGGGCAACCCUCAUAAUAAGUGGCGUCAUCAGCUCCAAUGUGAAGAAAAAAUCCUUCUCAAUAUCAGUGCUAGGCUCAAAUUGAGCCAUAUCACGAAAGAUACUGGGCUACAGUUCAACGCAGCUAUCAACUAUCAGCCUGGUCGUUCAAUCAAUAGCCUUUUCAGUGCCUUCUCUUGGGCGUCACCUUGGCUAAGGCAGCUGCACCAGAGUCUACAGUUGCUGCAGCUGCGGAGCCUCACAAGCGUCGCUCGCUGCUCAAUUUCAAGCUGCUGGACUUUCAUAUUAAGACGGUCAUCAUACAGCGGUCUGCGGUAAAACCACAAGCCAACAACAAGCCCAGCUUCAUGCUGAGGCUGCAAAAGAGAUUUUUUGACUUAAACAUGGCGUUGGGUGCGCGCCUACACAUAACCCUUAAUCUGGAGGCAUGCUAUCUAGGCAAAUCACCCACUGGACGUAGGCGUUGUAUUAAAUAUUUGCACGUCAGUGCAACCAAGCGGUCAGCUUGACCUGGGCAGAUGCAAGUGCAAGAGAGAGCAAGCCUCUCAUGGAGCAAGAGCGACAGCGAAUGCAUCAGCUGAGCUGAUGGCUGCAUUUUUCCUUGCAAGAGCAGCUCCGCUAGCUUUCGUUCGGAUGCGCUCACCCGGACAUAGCUGCUGUGAGUGCAUGAGAGCGUCGCUUUUUGGCGGUGGUUGGCUUUUGGGCUGUCUGGGCUUUGUAGAAACGGGAGAAUGGAAAACUCACCUGGGGCUCAUGUAGACAUUGGCGUAGAUCAAAUAUGUGCUGCACCUGCAGGUGGUGCAUUGGAUUCGAUGAGAUUGAUGACCAGCUUGAGUAUGGUCUGCUCAUCGAGCAAAUGCUGUGCUACAUUGCAGUCCAAGCUGAAAUCCUGCAACAGACGCAUUUACAUGGGUGGGUGGUAUCCAGCCCUGACCGCCCUCAAUUUUAAGUUAAGAGGUAACUACCAAAAAUCUGAGGAGAAGUGGGCGGUGCCUUUCGAAUGUUGGUCUAGGCACUUGGCCGUGCGCCGAGCAGCCCGAGUCAAUACCCAAGCUGGCCACCGAUAGCGACAUCAAUCGCAUCGAAUCUAACGCAGUGGCUGGCGCAGCACAUAUUGGAUGAACGCCAAUGUCUACCGGAGCCCCAGGUGAGUUUCUCAUCCUGCCGUCAAAAGAAAGCCCAGACAACUUAAAAGCCAACCACCCAGCAACAGAGGCGACGCUCUCGUGCACUCACAGCAGCAAUGUCCGGGUGAGCGCAUUUGAACGAACGAAAGCUAGCGGAGCUGCUUUCGCUAGGAAAUACGCAGGCAUCAGCUUGGGCCAUGCACUAGCUGUCGCUCUCGCUCUAUGAGAGGCUUGCACCCUUGUGCACUUGCACUCUCUUGCAAUUGCAGUUCAAUCAAAGUGCGUGAGGCUACCAGGCGAGGCCACUUACAGGUUGCAUUGCAGUUGAGUGUGAACAGUUGGCAGUGAAACAAGCAAUAAACAGUUAAUUAAAGAAUAUAAACAUUUUUGGUGGGGGUCUGCUGGCUCGCCGACGGGCAUCUGGGGCAAGGAUCGCAUUGAGGAGGGUCGUCGCCACUGCGAUCGACUGCGCGCGUGACUGACCGAGAAUCUAGGGUGUAGUCCCAACGCAGCUAUUGAUUGCCUGGUUGUUGUAGCAUGAGCCUGUUCAGUGCUUUCUGCUGGGCGCCACGUCGGCCGAGCAGCUGCACCAGAGUCUGCAGUCGCUGCAGCUGUUGCAGGGACUGUCGACGAGCGUUUUGUUGGAAUUGGAGCGUAUUUUGGAGAGCAAGCCAGUGCGACCGUCAGUAAUAUCGACGCUGGCGCUUCGGUCUCGCCUCCUCCACAUGCUUCGGUCAGUCUGCCACCGCUCAGACUAAGCAGCCCCAGUAGCUCCGACUCGCCCAAGUAUAAGGAGGAGGCGUUCAUCGAGGUGACGGAUACAAAUCAGGCUGCCAACCUGAGUUUCUGUGAUAUUCGUGAGAUUAGCCUGAGAAUAGCAAAGCUAUGACAACCACCAGCAUUGCGUUCCAAGCUUCGGCUGACUGCUGACAAAAAAAAAACAACACUAUCAAUUUUUUUUUUGUGCACAUCAAGAUACGUACGAUAAAAUGCAUUUCAAAAUUUGGAUGACUUACACUCUAUAAAAAUGUAUAAAGAUGCUCUCAAUAUUCUCUUUUCAAAAAAACAACAAAAAAGGAAAAAAAUAUAUAAAACGUAAAAUGUCAAAAAAAAAUGUCAGUACAUGGGCUGGUAUUUACAUGAUUAGUAAACAUGUGAAUAUUGUGCAUUGAUAUAUUUUUUGUCAAAACAAAAAAAAUUAAAAAAUUCAAAAUGAAAAAAAAAAUAUAAAACAUAAAAUGAAAAAAAAAAGAAACCAAUCAACACACAUUUGCAUGCAUACAAAAGUUUUAAAUUAACUAUUGUAUGCAUGUACUCGUGUGUAUUUCCAUAACAAGAUACAAACAAAAAAUCCAAAAAAAAUAUAAAAAACAUCAAAACACAAAAAAAGUAUAUACAAAACG